CCCCGGCAGUGGCCGCGUGUAGGUUUGGGAGCCGUUCCCCUCGCCCUGAAGGCACCGCGUCAGCCUGCCGGCUCGGCCACGGCCACCCACUCCACCCGCGGCACCGGAGCCUGGGCCACGAGCUCCACCACACCUCCAGGCCACGGCGGCCACGGCACCAGGCACCGCUCGAGCAGGCAGAGCGAAAAAUGUGUUUUACAUGUAAAAAACCCUUCGCAUCGUAGGAGACGUUGGAACUUUCAGCACUCGGCUGCGGUGUCACCUGACGUUUGCUCUGGAAUCCCAGUCCCUCCAGAUCACUAAGUCCUCCGUGUUCUUACCAUUUGUACGUUUGUGCUAGAAAGUGAAAAAUCUGUAGUGAUGUACGAUGGAACAGACUCCAAAGAAUGAAUGAAAUUCUCUCAUUUUACACUUGCAAAAG